AUGUUUUGGCAACACAUAUACUAAAAUUGGACCCAUCCAGAGAAGAUUAGCAUGGCCCCUGCGCAUGGAUCUGUUUCUGGGCCAGGGAAGUGCACUCCAAUCCU
ensembl:snRNA U6 U6 spliceosomal RNA